AACACUGGCGUCUUCCGAUGCUUCAAAUGUCAUGCAAUCAGGCUGGUCACGUGUCAGGUGAAACAGACCUCUGAUACGCCGGGCCAGAUGUCUAUAUGUCAGUCAACAGACUAGUCAUGCCGGGCCACGCGGCAGAGGUCGACGGACCCCACGUGCCGGGCCACAUGACUAUAGGGCAGCUUAGCGUCAUGCAUGCCACGUGUCAAGCGGUCAACGGACCCCAACAUGCCGGGCCACAUGACUUUAGGGCUUAUCAAUCGUCAUGAGGAGCCACUUGUUAGGGCAGCAGACCCAUACAUGCAGGCGUCAUGACUAUAGCUCAUUAGCAGUCGUGCCGGGCCACACGUUAGGUGGUCGACGGACCGAAACGUGCCGGGCCACACGACUAUAGGGCAGUUUAGCGGGUCAUGCGAGCCAUUGUCAGGUCAAGUAGACAUACCGGGCCUCAUGACCCAGUAAGUCACUAUCUGCACAAAGUGUAUGCCUAUUCAUGUCAUAUCAAUAAAUGAUCAUGGUUAUAUUACUCCAUCUAACUGUAAUUUCCCACACAGAUAUCCAUACAGCCAAUAAGGUAAGGCAUACGAUGAUGGUGCUUUCUUUCUCACUUUUAUUUUGGGGGGUCUCCUAGCCUGCUGUCGGCUUCAUUACCUUCCGAGUGGGAAGUCGUCACGAUGGAGUCUAAUCCCCCAAAGACUUUGCACAUUCAAAAUUAAAUUGUUGCACAUUUAUUGUAAAUAAAUAAUUGUUCAUUCUCAA